rnacentral:rRNA from 1 species
CGAAAGUCUGACGCGACACCGCGUGGAGGAUGAAGACCUUAGGGGCUUGUAAACUCCUUUUUAACGGCCAUGAAGGCCACUAGAAUAAGCAGCUACUAACUACGUGCCAGCAGCCGCGGUAAUA